rnacentral:rRNA from 1 species
AGAGUUUGAUCCUGGCUCAGGACGAACGCUGGCGGCGUGCUUAACACAUGCAAGUCGAACGAUGAAGGAGGAGCUUGCUCCUCCGGAUUAGUGGCGAACGGGUGAGUAAUACGUGAGCAAUGUGCCCUUGACUCUGGGAUAAGCGCUGGAAACGGCGUCUAAUACCGGAUACGACCACCGGAGGCAUCUCCUGGUGGUGGAAAGAAUUUCGGUCAAGGAUCAGCUCACGGCCUAUCAGCUUGUUGGUGAGGUAACGGCUCACCAAGGCGACGACGGGUAGCCGGCCUGAGAGGGUGACCGGCCACACUGGGACUGAGACACGGCCCAGACUCCUACGGGAGGCAGCAGUGGGGAAUAUUGCACAAUGGGCGCAAGCCUGAUGCAGCAACGCCGCGUGAGGGACGAAGGCCUUCGGGUUGUAAACCUCUUUUAGCAGGGAAGAAGCGAAAGUGACGGUACCUGCAGAAAAAGCACCGGCUAACUACGUGCCAGCAGCCGCGGUAAUACGUAGGGUGCAAGCGUUGUCCGGAAUUAUUGGGCGUAAAGAGCUCGUAGGCGGUUUGUCACGUCUGCUGUGAAAACCCGAGGCUCAACCUCGGGCUUGCAGUGGGUACGGGCAGACUAGAGUGCGGUAGGGGAGAUUGGAAUUCCUGGUGUAGCGGUGGAAUGCGCAGAUAUCAGGAGGAACACCGAUGGCGAAGGCAGAUCUCUGGGCCGUAACUGACGCUGAGGAGCGAAAGCAUGGGGAGCAAACAGGCUUAGAUACCCUGGUAGUCCAUGCC